AAGGUAUUGCAGUUCUACAAACUGUCCUUGGAAAUAAAAGAUUACAAGAAUAAGAGACAGGAGGAUGCCCUGCGCAUCCCACAUAAAGCACUUGCACUUGAGUUCUUGUCUCAGACUCUGUUUCGCCAAGAGGCAAGAAGAUGUCUUAGAUCCUGAAGCAACUUGGAUCUUCAACAGCCGAAUGAAUCACUUUUGGAUGGCCAUGCUUGGAGUCUUGGGAGAGUCUUGCUUUUUUCCUUUUAGCAGGUUGACAGAGACUGGUGAUCUUUGCUGAGAACUAGGAGGAAGAACCCGUUCUCCAGGCACCCGCUGCUUUCCUCAGCCUCACAGCCACCCCUCUAAUUCUGCAGUGUUCAGACAGUGACCCAGGACUUGGUAGCUCUGUGGUAGCUCUGCAGGUGGUCGGGCUGAAGAAUCUUUCAAGAGGCAAGAUCGCUUGACUGUUCG
rnacentral:lncRNA from 1 species